AUGGGGGGAGCCUGGGUCCCCUUCUCUGCUCGCCUUCCCACCCGGCAACUGACUUACACGGCUGAAAAGGUAAAAGAAAACAAAAAGUACAGGAAAACGGAGUGGAGAUGCCGGGGAUUGAACCCGGGGCCUCAUACAUGCAAAGCAUGCGCUCUACCACUGAGCUACAUCCCCUGGGCCUGGCGGUGGCGGGGCUGUGGGAAGCCCCAGUGUCCUUCCGCUCGCCGGGCCCCUGUCUGGGUGCCCAGCGGCUCCGGUCCAGCGGCUCCUUCCGCGCCCGCAAAGCCCAGGACCAGGCACUGCACCUGGGGAGGCCCGACCUGGAGCCCGCGGGGCGACAGGAAGGGAACCCAUGUCCAUAUGGACCAGCGCGGAGGGGCCCAACCAGCGCUCGUCCUCGUUAGUAUAGUGCCGAUUAACUGCCCCGCGUCUGUCGGCUGCUCGUCCGUUCCCGCUGCCUGUGCUCAUUUCCGCUGCGUGAGCGGGCGCAGCUCCAGCAAGCCCGCGGAGCUGCGGAGAAGGUAAGGCGGCGACCUCCGGGGCAUGUGAAGAGCUAAACUCCUUGAAGGAGAGAUGUUAAAAUAAAAGGUUGGAGAUGCCGGGGAUCGAACCCGGGGCCUCAUACAUGCAAAGCAUGCGCUCUACCACUGAGCUACAUCCCCCGCCCUCGGAGCCCCGCGGAUGCAGGAAGUGGCGGCCUUUCUCCACGUGCGCGUGUUUCUUCCUUUCGGGGUGCUCAGCGCCUCCGAGGAUCGGAGCAGGCCCCUCGGCGCAGGGGAGAAGCCCGCCCGCCCCGCGGCGCAGGCGGAGACCGCGGGGAGUGAUGCGCGCGGCAGCGGAAGAAGGCGGUUUCUAUAGGAACAGGCGUGGAGGGGCCUCGGCAUGGCUCGUCCUCGUUAGUAUAGUGCGCCUACCCGGAUGCGGCCAUACAGGUGUAGCUCCUCCUGUCACCACCUGGAGGUGCGGUUUCCCCCACAGUCGAGAUCGGUCCUUCCUCAAGCCUGGAACGUUCCAGAUGUGCUUUUGCUGGAGGAGGCGAACGGGAGCAAUGAUGCUGGGAACCACAGCACCACUGGGCAGAGUGUCCCGUUGGGCAGUGACAGCGCCUGCAGUGAGGCCUGCGGGGUGGGGCUCAUUCCCGGCCGCCGGGGUGAUGUGUACGUCGGGGGUCAGAGGUCUGUGCCGGCCUUGCCCUUCGCCCUCUGUGCUGCCAGCAACAACCUUUUUCAGAGGGAGCCGCCCAAAAGGAGACUGGCAUUCCCAGCAGAGAGCUUGCUCCCUGCUUCAUCAGUAACAGGACCAGAAUAAAUGAAUGUAAGAAUGAACGAAUGAAUGAAUGAAUGGAGUGCAUGAACUCUUUAUACGUGUACACUGCAUUUAAUCACUAAAAAUGAAAGCUAUUUUUCAUUAAAAGAAGGGGUCCUGUUCUUGGUCUGCAGUAAUAAUGGAUCCUUGUCCAUCAAUCUGUCUCA